rnacentral:rRNA from 1 species
UCAAUAAGCUGGAGCAUCAGGGCUCCUCUUGCCUAGUUACUAGUUGGAACUUGAAGAAGGUAUCUUUGGAGUUGGCCCCCGUCUAUGUUCCUUGGAACAGGACGUCACAGAGGGUGAGAAUCCCGUGCGAUGGGGAGACCAAUUCUAUGUAAAGUUCCUUCGAAGAGUCGAGUUGUUUGGGAAUGCAGCUCUAAGUGGGUGGUAAAUUCCAUCUAAAGCUAAAUAUUGGCGAGAGACCGAUAGCGAACAAGUACAGUGAUGGAAAGAUGAAAAGAACUUUGAAAAGAGAGUGAAAAAGUACGUGAAAUUGUUGAAAGGGAAGGGCUUUUGAUCAGACUUGGUGUUUAGUACUCUCUACUCCUUGUGGGUGGGGCUCUUGCUUUAUACUGGGCCAGCAUCGGUUUGGAUGGUAGGAUAAUAGCAUUGGAAUGUGGCUUCAUUCGUGAAGUGUUAUAGCCCUUGUUGAUACUACCUAUCUAGACCGAGGACUGCGUCUUUUGACUAGGAUGCUGGCGUAAUGAUUAAAAGCC